GGUUGGGUGGAAAGUUUUUCUGCAGAACUCCCACGGCUCCGGCCUCCCCUCCCCCUCCUUGCUCGCUGCCGCUGAGCAAGAAGGAGAAGGCUGGUUAGCAGAGAAAUGGCAACUCGGCUGGGAGCUGGAACUAGAAACUUUCUGACAGUGUAACAGCCGCGUGGGUGGUGCUCUUAUCGGCUCCAGCGACGCGGCGGUGACAUUUCAUCUUUGACAGACCCUCUCUAUCCUCGCUCCAAUGUGAUAAAACUUUUAUGGAACCACGACUAAGAAAUGAAGUUUUCCCAAGGAUCGUGGAAACAGAGCGGCACAUUAGCCUGGGGACCAGUUUAUACCCAAUGGUGGUUGGGCUUCGGGUCACGUGACGACUUCUUUGUAGCUCCGGAAGAGAACUGUGAAGUUUAGGAGAAUUGCCAGGAAAAAAAAAAAUAUCAAGAUUUGGGGGAAUUAACCACAUAGAAGGAAGGUGUGUUAACUUGGGCGCUUCUUGGAUUCUACCCUGAGGAGGAGGCGCAUGAUCUUGAUCUGCCGCUCGCUGAGGUUCAGCAGGUUGGCCAUCUCCACGCGGCGCGGCCGGCACAGGUAGCGGUUGAAGUGGAACUCCUUCUCCAGCUCCACCAGCUGCGCGCUCGUGUACGCCGUCCGCGCCCGCUUGG